GGGGAAUUUUCCGCAAUGGGCGAAAGCCUGACGGAGCAAGACCGCGUGGGGGAUGAAGGUUUGUGGAUUGUAAACCCCUUUUGAUUGGGAAGAAUACUGACGGUACCAAUCGAAUAAGCCUCGGCUAACUCCGUGCCAGCAGCCGCGGUAAUACGGAGGAGGCAAGCGUUAUCCGGAAUUAUUGGGCGUAAAGCGUCCGUAGGUGGUUUAGUAAGUCUGCUGUUAAAGCGCGGGGCUUAACUCCGUAUCGGCAGUGGAAACUACUAGACUAGAGUGUGGUAGGGGUAGAGGGAAUUCCCAGUGUAGCGGUGAAAUGCGUAGAUAUUGGGAAGAACACCGGUGGCGAAAGCGCUCUACUGGGCCAUAACUGACACUGAUGGACGAAAGCUAGGGGAGCGAAAGGGAUUAGAUACCCCUGNUAGUC
rnacentral:rRNA from 1 species